GUGUUUGUAGUCCAACGGUUAGGAUAAUUGCCUUCCAAGCUACAGACUCGGGUUCGACUCUUGGCAAAUGCA
rfam:Ipomoea nil DNA, scaffold: scaffold1734, cultivar: Tokyo-kokei standard.